rnacentral:rRNA from 1 species
GUACGGGGGGAGCUAGCGUUGUUCGGAAUUACUGGGCGUAAAGCGUGCGUAGGCGGUUAUUCAAGUCAGAGGUGAAAGCCCGGGGCUCAACCCCGGAACUGCCUUUGAAACUAGAUAGCUAGAAUCUUGGAGAGGUCAGUGGAAUUCCGAGUGUAGAGGUGAAAUUCGUAGAUAUUCGGAAGAACACCAGUGGCGAAGGCGACUGACUGGACAAGUAUUGACGCUGAGGCACGAAAGCGUGGGGAGCAAACAGG